GGCAGUAGCUCAGUGGUAGAGCAGUACCCAGCACGCACCAGGUCCUGGGUUCCAUCCCCAGCACUGCCA
rnacentral:tRNA from 1 species